rnacentral:tRNA from 1 species
GGGGCCGUAGUUAAGUUGGUUAUAACGCUGGCCUGUCAAGCCAGAGGGCGCGGGUUCAAGUCCCGUCGGCCCCG